GUGCUCAUCACGGUGCAGUCGGACGAUGGUGGCAAGCAGGACUUACUUCGAGCCGGGCUUGCGGGGAGGGAGAGUGAGAGAGUCGCCUGGAAUAGGAUAGGCAAGGGGAGGGGUGGAACGAGCGGCGGCGUGUUUAGCUGUGGUAUCGGCGGCGAUUGGUACGCGGUAUAGGCCGGUGGCGUUACGUUGACGCACGGCAGCGGAAGCAUGUUGUAGAGGGCGGGCUGCUGGUAACGGAGGCGGCGCGUCGUUCUUCGGUGUGUCAAGGGCGCCGCCGGAGCGCCCCUCCUCGUGCCGUCCGGGACCGCCGCCGGAGCACACGCCCAGUCCCGUGGUGUGGUCCCUCUGCCCAGAGCGGGAGGUGCCCUAGGGCUACGCCCCACCUCAGCGCCACCUCCACGACGAGCACCCCCCUUGCUACCGGACGGAGCGCGCUCACGCCACCACUCCUACACCCUACCGACGCCGCCCGCCGAUGCAUCGCCCACCGUUACCUUCGACGGCUCAGCGCUGUGAUCUCCCCCUCCCUCGCCGAUCACUACCCCCGCUCCCGACCCCCAAGAGGAGCAGAGUGCGCCAGCGACUCCCUUCGGUCGCCGAUGAAGACAAAGGCAACCGUCGGCGAGGGCAAAGACUAUACUCACCUAGGACGAGGGCGAGCGGGGACCAGUUGGAGGACGCAGCCGCGCGGUGACAGCGGAGGCGGCUGAGGUGGGUACCCACCUCCUCUACCGGCUUAGCCGGCGGCACUGCACGUUCGCGCCGGACGAGGACGUGUUGGUGGUCGCGGUCACCUCCUCGACGUCGCCCCUCCACAAGUAGAUGAGUAAAAACAGUGACCUUAUUCCGUUACUGCAAAGACCCGAACGGGGUAAAAACCCGACCAGGCGACCUCCCCUUCUCGGUCUAGCAACAGGGACGAUCGCUGUUCAAAUAGACUUCACCCUACCAAGCCCGAUCUCCCCAUGAAGAUGGCUUGCUCAAGCAAGCAAGGUCGCUGAGAGGGUCGUGCUUGCUGAGCAAGCCCGACCCCAUAGGAGUUCGGCUAGCAAGCCGUCAAUAGCUACAGGUAGUUUAUACAAACGUAUUUUCUUGAUCCUGUCUAUAGUGGACUAACAAAAAACCCAUUGGGCUGCACACUAUCUAGGUACACCGGAUAACUACGUUUGGCUGUCGCACAAAGCGGGUACAAGUAAAAACAAAAACGAACCCCUUUGCCCGGUCACGUCAAAGUGCACCUCCUCCAGGACCACUACACCUUAGGCCGCCAAGUUCGUACUCCGGUCCCGCCGAACCGCGCUUGCCGAGCCUCCCAUCGCCUUGCCAAGUCCCGGCCAACUGCCUCUGAGCAGCCGUUCGUACGCCACUUCUACCGCCCAACUCCAGUCUCGACGUCAUUGCCGCCCAACUUCACACCGCCAAGUUCCGGUGUCGCCGCAUGCCGAGCUCCACUGCCUAAGGGCGCUGAACCGUGCCCCGCCAAAUCGAACCUUCCCACUGAACUCUUGGGACCACCUUCGCUGAGCCUGAGCGGCACUGAACUUCGAGACCGGUUUCGUUUUGGCCGCCCACCGAGACCGGUUUCGUUUUGGCCGCCCACCGCCGAGCUUUGGUUUGGCGCCGGAAUAGGCAAAGGCUCAGUACCAGAAGAAAGUGAAACCGAGGAGCAUAACCAUGAUCAACGAACGACCUGUCUAAAGAGGAGGAGGUUUAGACUCGAAAAUGCACCUGUCGUAAGUUUACGAACUACUUGGUGAAAUAUGCUUGUCGUCGUGUUUUUGUCAUACUAGAACUGAUGAUCUAGCCAGAACUGAACUGCGGCUGAGUAUAUUAAAAAACCGUACCUGCCAUUCACAUAAUCUAAUUAGGAGCCUCAACAGACAGGCUUGCGUCGCUCAUUUAUUGGCUAAGUCGGAAACGAAAUAGUUU
rnacentral:rRNA from 1 species